GUGGGGAAUCUUGCGCAAUGGGCGAAAGCCUGACGCAGCCAUGCCGCGUGAAUGAUGAAGGUCUUAGGAUUGUAAAAUUCUUUCACCGGGGACGAUAAUGACGGUACCCGGAGAAGAAGCUCCGGCUAACUUCGUGCCAGCAGCCGCGGUAAUACGAAGGGGGCUAGCGUUGCUCGGAAUUACUGGGCGUAAAGGGCGCGUAGGCGGACAGCUUAGUCAGAGGUGAAAGCCCAGGGCUCAACCUUGGAAUUGCCUUUGAUACUGGCUGUCUUGAGUUUGGGAGAGGUGAGUGGAACUCCGAGUGUAGAGGUGAAAUUCGUAGAUAUUCGGAAGAACACCAGUGGCGAAGGCGACUCACUGGCCCAAUACUGACGCUGAGGUGCGAAAGCGUGGGGAGCGAACAGGAUUAGAAACCCGGGUAGUCC
rnacentral:rRNA from 1 species